UACAGAGACUGCGAGCGUUAUUCGGAUUCACUGGGCGUAAAGGGUGCGCAGGCGGCCGUGUGUGUGAGGCGUGAAAGCCCGGGGCUUAACCCCGGAAUUGCACCUCAAACUACACGGCUAGAGCAUUGGAGAGGGUAGCGGAAUUCACGGUGUAGCAGUGAAAUGCGUAGAUAUCGCGAGGAACACCAGAGGCGAAGGCGGCUACCUGGACAAUUGCUGACGCUCAGGCACGAAAGCGUGGGUAGCAAACAGG
rnacentral:rRNA from 1 species